rnacentral:rRNA from 1 species
CCAGACAACUAGGAUGUUGGCUUAGAAGCAGCCAUCAUUUAAAGAGUGCGUAAUAGCUCACUAGUCGAGUGACACUGCGCCGAAAAUGUACCGGGGCUAAACAUAUUCCCGAAGCUGUGGAUUGUCCUUUGGACAAUGGUAGGAGAGCGUUCUAAGGGCGUUGAAGCAUGAUCGUAAGGACAUGUGGAGCGCUUAGAAGUGAGAAUGCCGG